GAUGAACGCUGGCGGCGGGCCUAAUACAUGCAAGUCGAGCGAACGGACGGGAAGAGUGCGUUUUUGAGGGUAGCGGGGGACGGGCGAGUAACACGUGGAUAAGCUACCUAUAUGACGGGGGGAACUUCGGGAAACAGGAUACAAUACCAGAGAAUAUUUUGAACCGCAGAGUGCAAGAGAGCAUGAGGGUCUGGCUGACAGUAAGAGACGGUGUCGCGCUAGCUAGUUGGGUGGGUAAGGGCACGCCAAGGCAACGAUACGUAGCAGAUCUGAGAGGGUGAUCGGCCACACUGGAACUGAGACACGGUCCAGACUCCUACGGGAGGCAGCAGUAGGGAAUCUUGGGCAAUGGGCGCAAGCCUGACGCAGCCACGCCGCGUGGGUGAUGAAGGUCUUCGGGUCGUAAAGCUCUUUUGUUAGGGAAGAACAUCUGUGUAUUUAUCUGUGCCUAUUUUGACGGUACCUAAUGAGAAAGCACCGGCUAACUUCGUG
rnacentral:rRNA from 1 species